rnacentral:rRNA from 1 species
ACUACGGGUGGCAGCAGUGAGGAAUAUUGGUCAAUGGACGAGAGUCUGAACCAGCCAAGUAGCGUGAAGGAUGACUGCCCUAUGGGUUGUAAACUUCUUUUAUAAAGGAAUAAAACGAGGCACGUGUGCCUUUUGCAUGUAAUUUAUGAAUAAGGAUCGGCUAACUCCGUCCCAGCAGCAGCGGUAAUAGGGAGGCUCCGAGCGUUCACCGGAUUUAAUGGGUUUAAAGGGAGCGUAGAUGGGUUGUUAAGUCAGUUGUGAAAGUUUGCGGCUCAACCGUAAAAUUGCAAUUGAUACUGGCAGUCUUGAGUACAGUUGAGGUAGGCGGAAUUCGUGAUGUAGCGGUGAAAUGCUUAGAUAUCACGAAGAACCCCGAUUGCGAAGGCAGCUUACUAAACUGUGACUGACAUUGAUGCUCGAAAGUGUGGGUAUCAAACAGGAUUAGAUACCCCAGUAGUC